CGAGAAUUUCUCUAACGAGUUUUUAAAACUUUUCUUUUUUAAUAUGAUAGAAAAUACACAUAUAUUUCUACCAAAAAUACUAUUUAAGUGCUUGCAACGAAAAAUCAGCCGUAAGAGCGCAAAAUGGUGGACCCAUCGAAUGCGUCUACGCAUCGCAAGGUACUUCCUCACCUUAUUAUGCAACAGCAAAGAAGAGCUCGGUAACUCGUAGCUCUUGUUCCGAAACUGGGAGCAAAAUCAGAUUUGGACGAAAGUGAAUCAUCUGAGGAUGAAGUUCAAUACUACACCCGCCUUACGCACUCUAAUAGCAGUUCACCACCUCUAUCAUUGCCAUCUUCAAUAGAAAACCUAAACCGUC
rnacentral:misc_RNA from 1 species